rnacentral:tRNA from 1 species
GUAAAUAUAGUUUAAAAAAAACAUUAGAUUGUGAAUCUAAUGAUAGAAGCCUGUACCUUCUUAUUUACC